AAGCAUAUCAAUAAGCGGAGGAAAAGAAACUAACAAGGAUUCCCCUAGUAACUGCGAGUGAAGCGGGAAAAGCUCAAAUUUGAAAUCUGGCGGUCUUUGAUCGUCCGAGUUGUAAUCUAGAGAAGUUGUUACCUGUGCGGGACCAUGUACAAGUCUCCUGGAAUGGGGCAUCAUAGAGGGUGAGAAUCCCGUCUUUGACAUGGACUGCCUGCAUGUUGUGGUGCGCUCUCAAAGAGUCGAGUUGUUUGGGAAUGCAGCUCAAAACGGGUGGUAAAUGCCAUCUAAAGCUAAAUAUUGGCGAGAGACCGAUAGCGAACAAGUACCGUGAGGGAAAGAUGAAAAGAACUUUGGAAAGAGAGUUAAACAGUACGUGAAAUUGCUGAAAGGGAAACGCUUGAAGUCAGUCGCAUUGGCCRGAAAUCAGCCUUGCUUUUGCGAGGUGUACUUUCUGUUCGAUGGGUCAGCAUCAAUUUUGAUCACUGGAUAAAGUCUCUGGGAAUGUGGCAUCCUCGGAUGUGUUAUAGCCCUUUGUCACAUGCAGUGGUUGGGAUUGAGGAACUCAGCAUGCCGAAAGGCCAGGUUUCGACCAUGUUCAUGCUUAGGAUGCUGGCGUAAUGGCUUUAAUCGACCCGUCUUGAAACACGGACCAAGGAGUCUAACAUGCCUGCGAGUGUUUGGGUGGAAAACCCAUGCGCGCAAUGAAAGUGAAAGUUGAGAUCCCUCUAGUAGGUGAGCAUCGACGCCCGGACCAGACCUUUUGUGACGGAUCCGCGGUAGAGCAUGCAUGUUGGGACCCGAAAGAUGGUGAACUAUGCCUGAAUAGGGUGAAGCCAGAGGAAACUCUGGUGGAGGCUCGUAGCGAUUCUGACGUGCAAAUCGAUCGUCAAAUUUGGGUAUAGGGGCGAAAGACUAAUCGAA
rnacentral:rRNA from 1 species